GCCUGGCUGGCUCCAUUGGUGGAGCGUGUGACUCUUGAUCUCAGGGUUGUGAGUUCAAGCCCCAUGUUGGGUG
rnacentral:tRNA from 1 species